GGGCCCGCACAAGCGGUGGAGCAUGUGGUUUAAUUCGAUGAUACGCGAGGAACCUUACCAGGGCUUAAAUGUAGUGGGACAGGUCUAGAGAUAGACCCUUCUUCGGACUCAUUACAAGGUGCUGCAUGGUUGUCGUCAGCUCGUGCCGUGAGGUGUCAGGUUAAGUCCUAUAACGAGCGCAACCCCUAUCGUUAGUUGCCAGCGGGUAAUGCCGGGAACUCUAGCGAAACUGCCGGUGCAAACCGAGAGGAAGGUGGGGAUGACGUCAAAUCAUCACGGCCCUUACGUCCUGGGCUACACACGUGCUACAAUGGCCGGUACAGAGAGCAGCCACUACGCGAGUAGGAGCGAAUCCUUAAAACCGGUCUCAGUUCGGAUCGGGGUCUGCAACUCGGCCCCGUGAAGCUGGAAUCGCUAGUAAUCG
rnacentral:rRNA from 1 species